AGACCAAGGCAGUAUCUCUAGCUAUAACCAAAACAUGCUUAUGGAAAUUGGUGCUAGCUCUGAAUAUUUUUCUGCUGUGCUCCAUUACACAUAUGGGUAAGUCUAGUGCUGGCAGCCAUAUAUAUUUGGGGCAAAUAUAAUUGUUUACUGCUUGCUGUUGCAGAAAAUGUGAAAGAUCAGCCUGAUGAAAGCCAUCCUUCAGUGGACAGAUUCCAGAAACGGACGUUGCUCCUCCUUCAGCAUGAAGAAACUCGUGUAGGCUCUAAAUGAUGUCUCUUAAAUGAAACAUUGUCUCAAAUACACCAUAGAUGUCAGAUAAUCAAAGACAUUAAGGUACCUUGGAAUCAAACACAGGCAUUGUGUCUCUGCUUUUUCAUUCUUGAAAGUUUUGGAGAGAUAAAUAAGGAAGCCAACCAGGUGUUUAAUAUUUGAAUUAGGACUACAAGAUCAAAUUCUGUAUUUCUGCCACAAACAUUUCAGUAUAUUUCACGAGUUUCUGGACUUUGACCUUACUUGAUCUUGCUUACAUGAAAUGAGAGGGCUUCCCACACUGCAAUGAAAGGUGGUGCUGAUCCUCUAACCUGCUUACUGCUAGCUACAAGAUGAGGAUAAUACUACUUCUUUUCCACAUCUGAACAGUGACUGUGAAUGAUUAAAUUUUGGGUUGAAAAUUCAUAUAUUUAAACAAGAAGGUAACCAAAAUUCAGUGACUUACAGCUUUACUAACUGUAUAUCAAGACUUCAUCAUAGGUAACGCAAUGACAGUGUAGCAUAUAUCAUGGCAAUGAUGACAUGAAUUUUAAUUAUAUUUUCAGUUGCAAUUAAAUUUUAUUUAUUUUUUUUGUUAAAAUAACCAUCUGAUAUAAUAAAUGAAAAUUAAAUACAAGCUCCAUAGCAUAUCAAAUUAUUUUUCUGUUUUUAACUUUUCAUAUCUGGAAGCCAUUGUAGCUAUGGGGCAGAGAUUAUUGUCUUCCAUGUAAUUGUGAUUGGUGGGAGUUGGACAUGUUUGAGUAAAACUUUAAUAUUUUGUAUGAUGAGCAGCACUGUGAAUAUAAUUGUCAUUAUGAGACUGUAAGGUGAGGUUUUAUUUGUAGCAAUAAUAAAAUCAAAAUAAAAUCGUA